GAAAAUUUAGUUAACGUUAUAACCUUAGCUUGUCAUGCUAAAAUCGCCUCUUAAGGCAAUUUUCU
rnacentral:tRNA from 1 species